rnacentral:rRNA from 1 species
AUGAACGCUGGCGGCAGGCCUAACACAUGCAAGUCGAGCGGAAACGACUUAACUGAACCUUCGGGGAACGUUAAGGGCGUCGAGCGGCGGACGGGUGAGUAAUGCCUAGGAAAUUGCCCUGAUGUGGGGGAUAACCAUUGGAAACGAUGGCUAAUACCGCAUGAUGCCUACGGGCCAAAGAGGGGGACCUUCGGGCCUCUCGCGUCAGGAUAUGCCUAGGUGGGAUUAGCUAGUUGGUGAGGUAAUGGCUCACCAAGGCGACGAUCCCUAGCUGGUCUGAGAGGAUGAUCAGCCACACUGGAACUGAGACACGGUCCAGACUCCUACGGGAGGCAGCAGUGGGGAAUAUUGCACAAUGGGCGCAAGCCUGAUGCAGCCAUGCCGCGUGUGUGAAGAAGGCCUUCGGGUUGUAAAGCACUUUCAGUCGUGAGGAAGGUGGUGUAGUUAAUAGCUGCAUUAUUUGACGUUAGCGACAGAGGAAGCACCGGCUAACUCCGUGCCAGCAGCCGCGGUAAUACGGAGGGUGCGAGCGUUAAUCGGAAUUACUGGGCGUAAAGCGCAUGCAGGUGGUUUGUUAAGUCAGAUGUGAAAGCCCGGGGCUCAACCUCGGAAUAGCAUUUGAAACUGGCAGACUAGAGUACUGUAGAGGGGGGUAGAAUUUCAGGUGUAGCCGGUGAAAUGCGUA